GGCUUUGAGGCUUUAAGCUGGCAAUGAACUGAAUAAGGAUUUCAACAAAGUUCUUUUAGACACGAAGAAAGCUGCAGACACAUAUUUCGAAAGGCAUAUCUUCCCAGGAUCAGUGAAGAUAGUUCAUCUACAGGUGUCCUAGCAAGGUGAAAGAGCAAGAAAAGCAGAUGGAAAACAGCAGGUACAUGUUUUUUGAUGCGAG